rnacentral:tRNA from 1 species
GCCUGAGUAGCUCAGUCAUUAAGCAUCUGACUUUGGCUCAGGUCAUGAUCCCCAGGUCCUGGGAUCGAGUCCCAGAUUGGGCU